GAGCAGGCCUUCUGUGCCUUUCUCUUCUUUUUCUUCUUCUGUUUUGGAGGCUGGAGGACCACCUUAAUGGCCGCAUCAAAGACAGCUUUGACAUUCUGCGUUUGAAAAGAGUAGAUGGAACAAAUUCUGUUAGUAAUGAGAAGAAAGAAGGCAAGGCAAACUAGAGAAACGAUAGUUAGGAUGUGAUGCAGCAGCUGAUACCUGAGCUGUGGUGAUGGGCACUGCACCUGGGUGAUCUAAAAAGAAUUGUUUAUCAUCUCGGAGAUCUACAGGGAGCAAAUUUAGUUGUCAUGAAACUCAUUUUUUGUCGACAGGUUAGGAAAAUUGAUACAAGACAUUCUAUGCUGAGGCACUGUAAAACUAAAAAUAACUUGGCAAUUAACAAAAAGGGUAGUGCCAUUUAGUAUUAUGGAAGUUCAUUAUCUCCAAGUUAAUCAUUGCAAAGAUAUGCUUAAAACCAAUAGCAGCUUGAACUAACACAUGGUCAUGGAAUUCAACCAGAUAUAACAAGUUACUGCUGAGCACUUUCUGAAAGAUAUCAGUUCAAUUGGCUGAUACAUACCCUUUUCAUUUAACCCAAAUCCAGAAGAGAUGUACAAGUGCCAAACAUCUAGGCAAGCUAUCAGACUGGGUUUUUAGGCACUGGUGAUUGAAUAAUGAAUGCUUACUAAAAGCAUCUUUAUUUAUGCAACCAGCCACAAAAUUUUUGGAUAUGCUCAAAACUCCUCAAGCUUCUGAAAGUGGUCAUCAAACCACAAAAUAAUUCUAUUUUUGAAGUAUUCAUAGCAAGCCCUUGCAGGGUGGCAUGGAGUGCUGUAAUAUGUUCAAAAAUCAAGUUCGGCCAAUUUAAUGGUCAUUUCUAAUAUACAA